UCUGUGUCAUUGCUGCGAUCCCUGAGUUGGCUCUGGCAGGGGGCUGUCCUGCCCCCAUAACCCUCGUUGCCUGUGCGAUUCUGUAUCCCCGCCCCGUGCUCUGCCCCGAACUCCUCUUGGCUGGGCGAUGCCCUAAAACCGCCUCCCUUUAUGAGCUGUGCACAAGUACCGAGGGUGGUUAGUUGUUCUCCACUGCUUUUGGAGCUACACCACGAGAGAUGUGAAAACACCACUCAGUCUGUCCUAAAAACAGAAUCAAAAUGAGCCACAAACCCCUACAAAAGGACCAAGGACUCACCCAACAAAACUCCUCUGAAAAUAAAGGCUUCAGAGAGACUGAGUGAGUCCAUUCCCACCCAUGGAACUGUAGAGUCCCUUUACAGUCUGCUAAGGAUUGGGCUCACCCCAGCAUGCCUUGAUUUUGCCUGUGCUUCAUUGAUCUACUCUCUGGAGUGAUGGGAUUCUGCUGACCUUCUUCUUUCCAUUCAUCUCACUGAGAAUCUUGAAGUUCAUCUUUUCCCACAGAAAACUUUUAGCAGGCAUAUUUUUCAUCUCCCAAGUUUGUACCAGAGUCUGCCCAAAUGUAAGUGGGAAGAUACAUCAAUGUUAUGAGGCAAGACAAGGAAAGAAGAGCAGGGAAAGUGAAGACCAUGCCAUUAUAAGGCUAAUAAAGAAGUCCCUGAAAAGUUUUAAAAAUAGAAAAAUUGUUUUGCUGCAUCUAUACUUCAGUGUUUCAUCAGACAUUACCAAAUAAAUUUCAGUGAGACUCUCCAACAUUUUUAAAAUUUUCAUACUAACUCUGGUUGACAUACCCCUUUCAGAAUAAUUUUCAAGUUGUUGGGUUUUAAUAUUGACACGCAGUUAUGGCAAGCCCUCCUCU